rnacentral:tRNA from 1 species
GCGGGGGUGCUGGAGCCGGGCGGUGGGACCGUCUUCGCCGAAGCCGGUGGACAACGCGUCCGCAUCCGGACCGGUUCCGGCGGCCGGUCCACCGCAC